UACAGAGGUCUCAAGCGUUGUUCGGAUUCAUUGGGCGUAAAGGGUGCGUAGGCGGCGCGGUAAGUCGGGUGUGAAAUCUUGGAGCUUAACUCCGAAACUGCAUUCGAUACUGCCGUGCUUGAGGACUGGAGAGGAGACUGGAAUUUACGGUGUAGCGGUGAAAUGCGUAGAUAUCGGGAGGAACACCUGUGGCGAAAGCGGCUCACUGGACCACAACUGACGCUGAGGCGCGAAAGCUAGGGGAGCAAACAGG
rnacentral:rRNA from 1 species